UGGGAGUCAACAUAAUUUGCACAUUAAAUAGGACUUCUGGCACCAUUCCAAGAAAACAAAAAGUUGAAAGGAAGCAGAUUCAGGCUCCCAUCACCUCCACUGUAGAAGGAGUGAUGAAAAUCUGAUCUAGGUUUAUACAGCUUUAUUUCAAUUAAUUUAGUUCUCUCAAACCAUCCACUUUAUGACUGAUGACCACCCCUGCUUGAAAAAGGCAUGUUGACUGAAUCACCUCUGACUUACAGCACCACACUGCCAGUCCAAGGAGAUGCCUCAGCUGCAAGAACUCUGUGUGGAGAAAGGAAAGUGAAACCCUAAAAGACGAGCCUUAAGAGAUUAAGCUUGGAGAUUUACCAGGCAUUUGUUAUUUUGAUGGCAGCUUCCUUCUUAGAAAGAAAAUUCCUAUAUUCACACUUCAGAAUUGCAGUUUGAAGGAGAAGAAGCUCAGUAAUUAUGGUGGAAGACAAAGUGGAAGCCCAGAAACAUAAGCCAGAAAACAGUCUCAAGCACAGGUCUAAGACUGCCAUGGUCUUUCAGUUUGAGAUUCUGCAUAUCAAAAGUCUCAGCGGAAAACAGAAGUAGAAAUAUUUCAUGCAGAUACUGAAAAAAAUAAUAGGAAGAAAACCAAUAGACAGAAAAGUGAGCUGGCUACUGAGAAACCUCAUAUAACUAGGUAGUAGAA